rnacentral:rRNA from 1 species
CUACGGGGGGCUGCAGUGGGGAAUAUUGCGCAAUGGGCGAAAGCCUGACGCAGCAACGCCGCGUGAUCGAUGAAGCUUCAAGGAGUGUAAAGAUCUGUCCUAAGGGAAGAAUGGUUCCAAGUCGAAUAGGCUUGGUUCGUGACGGUACCUUAGAAGAAAGCGCCGGCUAACUUCGUGCCAGCAGCCGCGGUAAUACGAGGGGCGCAAGCGUUGUCCGGAUUCAUUGGGUGUAAAGGGUGCGUAGGUGGAUUUGUAAGUUGGAAUUUAAAUCCCGCAGCUUAACUGCGGACCUGGUUUCAAAACUGCAGAUCUUGAGUUCGAAAGAGGGGAGUGGAAUUCCUAGUGUAGCGGUGGAAUGCGUAGAUAUUAGGAGGAACACCAGUGGCGAAGGCGGCUCUCUGGUUCGAUACUGACACUAAGGCACGAAAGCGUGGGGAGCAAACAGGAUUAGAUACCCCUGUAGUC